UGCUAGGUUAUUGUGAGAGUGUAAACACUUGGGCUGGGGAUUAUAAGCUUGAUCAUCAUAAGCUUAUCAAACACUUUGGGAAGUGAGGUUCGUUAGUAUCUCGGUUGUGGUUAGAUUGGUCUUUCAAGUCUUUGAGGAAAUCUAAGCUCUUGAGCACAUAAGUUUUGGUAAGUGUACUUUCAAUGGUUUAGUCUUCCCAUUUUCCUUUUCAUCUCUUUUCUUCUUUAGACUCACUCUUUCUAAUGGUUAUUAGGAGUGUUCCAAAAAGUCCCAACUCAGUCCACAUAUCCCGGUAACUUUGGUAAGGAAAAUAGGCUAGAAUCAAUAUGUUUAUGUUUAUGUUAUCUUAUGUGUUAUGUUAUGAAUAUGUUAUGAUUGUGUAUGUUUGUAGGCUUGGGCUUAUGCCCUAUUUGACUAACAAGACCCCAAAAAGAUUGUGGGCAUAAGCCUAUUUAGCUGGUAGGACCCCACUAAUCUCAUGGGCAUAAUCUUGUUUAGUCUAUGGGACCCCAAGUAAUAAUGGCCAUUAUAAUAAGUGUAUUAUGUGUUAUGAUAUGUCUUUAUGUUUAUUACGAAAUUUAUGUUUAUGACUAUGUGUUAGAUUUUCCUUGCUGGGCAUUAGGCUCAUUCCUUUCUGUUUAUGUGCAGGAAAAUAAGCUUUAGAGGCAGUAAGAUUCGUGACGCUUAGAGGAUGUGUAUCGAUGGUGGAUGGAGUCAAGGAGCCGAGCGUUAUUCGAUUCGAGGAUGUAGUCUUGUUUAUGUUUUUAUGGUUUUAAAUGUAUUUUCCACAUUUUCUAUGUAACUCUUUUUACUUUAAGUUAUUUUUGUUUUAAAGACAAUGGGUACCCAUAUCCUAUUUAUUUUAUGAAAGUAACCUUUGUUUCUACAAGUUUCUAAUAAAGUAUGGUAUUUCCGCAAAAA